rnacentral:rRNA from 1 species
UUAAGCGACUAAGCGUACACGGUGGAUGCCCUGGCAGUCAGAGGCGAUGAAGGACGUGCUAAUCUGCGAUAAGCGUCGGUAAGGUGAUAUGAACCGUUAUAACCGGCGAUUUCCGAAUGGGGAAACCCAGUGUGAUUCGUCACACUAUCAUUAACUGAAUCCAUAGGUUAAUGAGGCGAACCGGGGGAACUGAAACAUCUAAGUACCCCGAGGAAAAGAAAUCAACCGAGAUUCCCCCAGUAGCGGCGAGCGAACGGGGAGCAGCCCAGAGCCUGAAUCAGUGUGUGUGUUAGUGGAAGCGUCUGGAAAGGCGCGCGAUACAGGGUGACAGCCCCGUACACAAAAAUGCACAUGCUGUGAGCUCGAUGAGUAGGGCGGGACACGUGGUAUCCUGUCUGAAUAUGGGGGGACCAUCCUCCAAGGCUAAAUACUCCUGACUGACCGAUAGUGAACCAGUACCGUGAGGGAAAGGCGAAAAGAACCCCGGCGAGGGGAGUGAAAAAGAACCUGAAACCGUGUACGUACAAGCAGUGGGAGCACAGAGCAAUCUGUGUGACUGCGUACCUUUUGUAUAAUGGGUCAGCGACUUAUAUUCUGUAGCAAGGUUAACCGAAUAGGGGAGCCGAAGGGAAACCGAGUCUUAACUGGGCGUUAAGUUGCAGGGUAUAGACCCGAAACCCGGUGAUCUAGCCAUGGGCAGGUUGAAGGUUGGGUAACACUAACUGGAGGACCGAACCGACUAAUGUUGAAAAAUUAGCGGAUGACUUGUGGCUGGGGGUGAAAGGCCAAUCAAACCGGGAGAUAGCUGGUUCUCCCCGAAAGCUAUUUAGGUAGCGCCUCGUGAAUUCAUCUCCGGGGGUAGAGCACUGUUUCGGCAAGGGGGUCAUCCCGACUUACCAACCCGAUGCAAACUGCGAAUACCGGAGAAUGUUAUCACGGGAGACACACGGCGGGUGCUAACGUCCGUCGUGAAGAGGGAAACAACCCAGACCGCCAGCUAAGGUCCCAAAGUCAUGGUUAAGUGGGAAACGAUGUGGGAAGGCCCAGACAGCCAGGAUGUUGGCUUAGAAGCAGCCAUCAUUUAAAGAAAGCGUAAUAGCUCACUGGUCGAGUCGGCCUGCGCGGAAGAUGUAACGGGGCUAAACCAUGCACCGAAGCUGCGGCAGCGACGCUUAUGCGUUGUUGGGUAGGGGAGCGUUCUGUAAGCCUGUGAAGGUGUACUGUGAGGUAUGCUGGAGGUAUCAGAAGUGCGAAUGCUGACAUAAGUAACGAUAAAGCGGGUGAAAAGCCCGCUCGCCGGAAGACCAAGGGUUCCUGUCCAACGUUAAUCGGGGCAGGGUGAGUCGACCCCUAAGGCGAGGCCGAAAGGCGUAGUCGAUGGGAAACAGGUUAAUAUUCCUGUACUUGGUGUUACUGCGAAGGGGGGACGGAGAAGGCUAUGUUGGCCGGGCGACGGUUGUCCCGGUUUAAGCGUGUAGGCUGGUUUUCCAGGCAAAUCCGGAAAAUCAAGGCUGAGGCGUGAUGACGAGGCACUACGGUGCUGAAGCAACAAAUGCCCUGCUUCCAGGAAAAGCCUCUAAGCAUCAGGUAACAUCAAAUCGUACCCCAAACCGACACAGGUGGUCAGGUAGAGAAUACCAAGGCGCUUGAGAGAACUCGGGUGAAGGAACUAGGCAAAAUGGUGCCGUAACUUCGGGAGAAGGCACGCUGAUAUGUAGGUGAAGUCCCUCGCGGAUGGAGCUGAAAUCAGUCGAAGAUACCAGCUGGCUGCAACUGUUUAUUAAAAACACAGCACUGUGCAAACACGAAAGUGGACGUAUACGGUGUGACGCCUGCCCGGUGCCGGAAGGUUAAUUGAUGGGGUUAGCGCAAGCGAAGCUCUUGAUCGAAGCCCCGGUAAACGGCGGCCGUAACUAUAACGGUCCUAAGGUAGCGAAAUUCCUUGUCGGGUAAGUUCCGACCUGCACGAAUGGCGUAAUGAUGGCCAGGCUGUCUCCACCCGAGACUCAGUGAAAUUGAACUCGCUGUGAAGAUGCAGUGUACCCGCGGCAAGACGGAAAGACCCCGUGAACCUUUACUAUAGCUUGACACUGAACAUUGAGCCUUGAUGUGUAGGAUAGGUGGGAGGCUUUGAAGUGUGGACGCCAGUCUGCAUGGAGCCGACCUUGAAAUACCACCCUUUAAUGUUUGAUGUUCUAACGUUGACCCGUGAUCCGGGUUGCGGACAGUGUCUGGUGGGUAGUUUGACUGGGGCGGUCUCCUCCUAAAGAGUAACGGAGGAGCACGAAGGUUGGCUAAUCCUGGUCGGACAUCAGGAGGUUAGUGCAAUGGCAUAAGCCAGCUUGACUGCGAGCGUGACGGCGCGAGCAGGUGCGAAAGCAGGUCAUAGUGAUCCGGUGGUUCUGAAUGGAAGGGCCAUCGCUCAACGGAUAAAAGGUACUCCGGGGAUAACAGGCUGAUACCGCCCAAGAGUUCAUAUCGACGGCGGUGUUUGGCACCUCGAUGUCGGCUCAUCACAUCCUGGGGCUGAAGUAGGUCCCAAGGGUAUGGCUGUUCGCCAUUUAAAGUGGUACGCGAGCUGGGUUUAGAACGUCGUGAGACAGUUCGGUCCCUAUCUGCCGUGGGCGCUGGAGAACUGAGGGGGGCUGCUCCUAGUACGAGAGGACCGGAGUGGACGCAUCACUGGUGUUCGGGUUGUCAUGCCAAUGGCACUGCCCGGUAGCUAAAUGCGGAAGAGAUAAGUGCUGAAAGCAUCUAAGCACGAAACUUGCCCCGAGAUGAGUUCUCCCUGACUCCUUGAGAGUCCUGAAGGAACGUUGAAGACGACGACGUUGAUAGGCCGGGUGUGUAAGCGCAGCGAUGCGUUGAGCUAACCGGUACUAAUGAACCGUGAGGCUUAACCU